rnacentral:rRNA from 1 species
AUUGCCCAGUAACGGCGAGUGAGCGGCAACAGCUCAAAUUUGAAAUCUGGCCCCCCGGCCCGAGUUGUAAUUUGGAGAGGAUGCUUCUGGCGCGGCGCCGUCCGAGUUCCUUGGAACAGGACGCCACAGAGGGUGAGAGCCCCGUACGGACGGACGCCUAGCCUCUACGAAGCUCCUUCGACGAGUCGAGUAGUUUGGGAAUGCUGCUCAAAAUGGGAGGUAAAUUUCUUCUAAAGCUAAAUACCGGCCAGAGACCGAUAGCGCACAAGUAGAGUGAUCGAAAGAUGAAAAGCACUUUGAAAAGAGGGUUAAAAAGUACGUGAAAUUGUUGAAAGGGAAGCGCCUGUGACCAGACUUGCGCCCCGCGGACCACCCGGCGUUCUCGCCGGUGCACUCUGCGGUGCGCAGGCCAGCAUCGGUUCUCCCAGGGGGACAAAGGCCGCGGGAACGUAGCUCCUUCGGGAGUGUUAUAGCCCGCGGCGGCAUGCCCCUGGGGGGACCGAGGACCGCGCUUCGGCAAGGAUGCUGGCGUAAUGGUCACCAGCGACCCGUCUUGAACCACGGACCAAAA